UACGGAGGGGGCUAGCGUUGUUCGGAAUUACUGGGCGUAAAGCGCGCGUAGGCGGACCUGCAAGUCGGGGGUGAAAGCCCGAGGCUCAACCUCGGAACUGCCUUCGAUACUGCGGGUCUCGAGUCCGGGAGAGGUGAGUGGAACUCCGAGUGUAGAGGUGAAAUUCGUAGAUAUUCGGAAGAACACCAGUGGCGAAGGCGGCUCACUGGCCCGGUACUGACGCUGAGAUACGAAAGCGUGGGGAGCAAACAGG
rnacentral:rRNA from 1 species